CUGCGCCACGAGUGGCAAUCAUGUUUAUUGGGCCUAAAGCGUUCGUAGCCGGAUAGAUAAGUCUUGGGUGAAAUCGUUGCGCUUAACAAAACGAAUUGCUUGAGAUACUGUUUAUCUAGGGACCGGGAGGCGUUAAGGGUAUUUCUGAGGGAGCGGUAAAAUGUUGUAAUCUCAGGAGGACCACCUGUGGCGAAGGCGCUUAACGAGAACGGGUCCGACGGUGAGGAACGAAAGCUAGGGGAGCAAAACGGAUUAGAUACCCGAGUAGUCC
rnacentral:rRNA from 1 species